rnacentral:rRNA from 1 species
GAUGAACGCUGGCGGCGUGCUUAACACAUGCAAGUCGAACGGAAAGGCUCCAGCUUGCUGGAGUACUCGAGUGGCGAACGGGUGAGUAACACGUGGGUAAUCUGCCCUGCACUCUGGGAUAAGCCUGGGAAACUGGGUCUAAUACUGGAUAUGACCUUUCUCCUUAUGGGGUUUGGUGGAAAGUUUUUCGGUGUAGGAUGAGCCCGCGGCCUAUCAGCUUGUUGGUGGGGUGAUGGCCUACCAAGGCGACGACGGGUAGCCGGCCUGAGAGGGUGAUCGGCCACAUUGGGACUGAGAUACGGCCCAGACUCCUACGGGAGGCAACAGUGGGGAAUAUUGCACAAUGGGCGGAAGCCUGAUGCAGCGACGCCGCGUGAGGGAUGACGGCCUUCGGGUUGUAAACCUCUUUCAGCAGGGACGAAGCGUAAGUGACGGUACCUGCAGAAGAAGCACCGGCUAACUACGU